AGAGAAGGGGGCUUCGUGGUGAGAUGGACCUGGGCUUGGAUCUCAGCUCUGCUGUGUGACCCUGGCUUCUGUUAAUCCUCCAGCUUCGAAGAACUCAAGGAAAGAAGGACGAAGGGAAGGAGAUCAGCAGCUGAAUAGGCUCCAUUAGACGGCUGGCACUGGGGCUGGGACAAGAUCAAGGAAGCAAGGCGUCUAGCUCUGAGCGGGAACAGCAGCAGAGUCCUGUGUUCCGAGAGGAGCUGAGAAGACCUGGGCCGAUCGACGGUCGGUCAGAGGGGACCGGGGGAAAACUUCCAGGGGCAUCGAUGCCACUCCCCCCGGCACACUUCUCCAGCUGCCUCUGCUCGUGCUUUGUUUCUAGCACAUGGAGAGGAGGCUGAACACGAACCCUCGGAGCAGGUGCUUCUGCUCCUCCAGAUUAGAAGCCGCUUUGAGAUUCGGCGCAUGUCUUACUCAGCUCUGCCUGCGGUGAGCAUCUCACAGGACCAAAAAUAACACCACCGGUGGCGGCGUGUUUUCUGUUUAGCCCAGCGCGGCCUGCCUAGCUGUCUCUAUCAGCAGUGGGGACACAGAGGGACUGACGGACUGACAAACGCCUCAAAGCAUUCGGGACCAGGGAAGACACCAGACGUGUAAAGAAGUGAAACGAAUUGCUCAGCACGGCUGACUAUAGUAAACUGUAGUGUAUAUUUGAAAGCCACGAAGGGAAUGGAUCUUAAAAGUCCUCAGCACAAGAAAAACAAAUGUGUCACUCUGCGAGGUGAUGGAUAUUAACUAGACUGACUGUGGUCAUUUCACAACACAUACAAAUACCGAAUCAUUACCCUGGACCCUUGAUAGUAGUAUGUCAACUAUCCCUCAAUAAA